ensembl:lncRNA
GUAUUUUUUCGAGUUAUUGGAAAACUAUUUGAUGACAGGAGCGUAGCAUGUGAGUAUUCUUUUUUUUCCUGAGGAAAGGGUGAAGAAGCUGUGGGCAAUAGUAAGCAAGUGAAGAGAGUGAAGGGGCUGGAGGGGAAACCACCUGCGGAGGAGCAGAGAGCGGUGGGGCCAGAGGAGAUGAAAGAGUAAGGUUUUGAUAGCUUCCUUCAAAGCCCCUCCAAAAGAACAAGAUGUUUCUUUUGUUCUUGAAGCAACUCCCAGACAGGAAGCCAGGGCACGAGAUGAAGAUCAACUUGUUUCCUUCUUUAAAAAAAAAAAAAAAAAGUGCCUUUCUAAGAUGUCAAGGUUUUAGUGCUCCUACGCAAUGUCACCCCAGCCCUCAUCAAAUAUAUUUUAGGACUCACGAGGGAGGAUGUUUACAUUGAUGACGAGCUGGCAAACAGUUUCUGAACAAUGUGCUUUUCAGAUCAAGGCUCGACCUUUCUGUUAUAUACAGAAGAGAAGAGAAGAGAAGAGAAGAGAAGAGAAGAGAAGAGAAGAGAAGAGAAGAGAAGAGAAGAGAAGAGAAGAGAAGAGAAGAGAAGAGAAGAGAAGAGAAGAGAAGAGAAGAGAAGAGAAGAGAAAUGCCUUUCGUAGUACAAACGCACCCUUGAUAUUUAUGCACAGCCACGACGGGGCUAAUCAAUCAUCAAUAUGCAACUGGUUAUAGCCUCACACACGCUCACGCAGAGCAGAAAGGUCAAAAGACAUUUGUAGGCCUAAAUUAAAUAUGGAAGAUGAUACUUUAGAGCCACUCUUUUACCCUGUCUCCAAUUCAAACAUGCUCUAUUUACAUAAAGCCAUUUACAGUACAGCAGGAGCACUGAAAUCUAAUGAAAAACGUGAUUGUAAAUAAAUGCAUUAUGAAGAAAAAUAAUAGGUAAAAAACUGUGAAUUUAAAUGAAAAUAUGCAUGAAAGAAAAUGAUAAAUAUAGGGGAGCUUUUUUUCUCGUUGCAGCAUAUUUUUCUUUUACUAACACAAUUAAUUUUGGGAAUAUUUUUGGAUGCCUCUGCAUCACUGCAAUUUUUUUUUUCACCAGCACUGAUCAUUAAGCUGUUAUCCACUUUUACAAGCAAUUUCUAUUUAUUUUUUUUUAUUUUUUUUUAGGACACUGAGAAAUACCUCCUUCUCCAAGUAGAAACAAAGCAGGUUUUUCUACACGCUGCGCUCGGCGUGUUACUUCAGAAAUAAAAAAUAUAUAUUUUUACCCAUUUACAAAUUAAUAUACAGUCACAUUUGAGCUUUCUCUCGUUUUAUCUGCCUCUCGCUCUCACUCGUGCUGUAUCUUGUUGACUUUCUGCCAGUGGUGAAUGUUGAUUUCUGUCUGUUAUGAAUCCAAACUGCUGUCAACACUCUGCGGGUGUCAUCGUAACAUACUAAUCUUCCCUCUUUGUCCCAAAGGCGCAAAGUCAAAUCAGAGAGAAAUAAAAUAAGGGAGGUGGGGGAAGAAGAAAAAAGUGGAUGAACGGAUAUUGAGAGCGAGAGAGAGCGAGUGAGAGUGGUCACAUCACACAGCACUGCAGGAAGUCUUCCUCCAGUCAAUCAUAACCGCCA